UACGUAGGGGGCGAGCGUUGUCCGGAGUUACUGGGCGUAAAGGGCGUGCAGGCGGUGCGGUAAGUUUAGCGUGACAGUCUCCGGCUUAACUGGAGAAGGCCGCUGAAAACUGCUGGACUUGAGGGCCAGAGAGGGACAUAGAAUUCCGGGUGGAGUGGUGAAAUGCGCAGAUAUCCGGAGGAAUACCAAAGGCGAAGGCAGUGUCCUGGCUGGCAACUGACGCUGAGGCGCGAAAGCUAGGGGAGCGAACAGG
rnacentral:rRNA from 1 species